CUUUAAGCACCAGUAACCUGAGAGCGUGUGAAAGAAAAGACUGCUAUAAAUGAGGGAAGGGGAGGUGCUGGACAAGAGGAGAGUGAACGUUUUUUUUUGCCGACAGUUAGCUGUUAGUUAUUUAACACAGCCCCCUGGAAUCCCAAGGGACACCCUUCCCCCCACCUCCAAGAAAACUUCACAAUAAGAUAAAAGAUCUGCUGUACCCGAGUCCUGGUGGAUGACAAGCCAUUAACCUUCUGACCAGAAGGUGAGAAAACUGCUACUGAGCCAAGAGAUACAGCAGGGUACAGGCCCUUCCAGCCCAAUGAACUGCAAUGCUCAGCAACUCACCGAUUUAAGCCUAACUUAAUCACAAUUUACAAUGACCAAUUAACCUACUAACUGGGACGUCUUUGGAAUGUGGGAGGAAACCGGAACACCCAGAGGAAACCCACAUGCUCACAGGAAGGGCACACAAGCUCCUUACAAUGGACGCCAGAACUGAAGUUCCAACCACCUCCUAUG